CAUGCAAGUCGAGCGGUAACAGAUCCAGCUUGCUGGAUGCUGACGAGCGGCGGACGGGUGAGUAAUGCAUAGGAAUCUGCCCGAUAGUGGGGGAUAACCUGGGGAAACCCAGGCUAAUACCGCAUACGUCCUACGGGAGAAAGGGGGCUCCGGCUCCCGCUAUGGGAUGAGCCUAUGUCGGAUUAGCUAGUUGGUGAGGUAACGGCUCACCAAGGCCACGAUCCGUAGCUGGUCUGAGAGGAUGAUCAGCCACAUCGGGACUGAGACACGGCCCGAACUCCUACGGGAGGCAGCAGUGGGGAAUAUUGGACAAUGGGGGAAACCCUGAUCCAGCCAUGCCGCGUGUGUGAAGAAGGCCCUCGGGUUGUAAAGCACUUUCAGCGAGGAAGGACGCCUAACGGUUAAUACCCGCUAGGAAAGACAUCACUCGCAGAAGAAGCACCGGCUAACUCCGUGCCAGCAGCCGCGGUAAUACGGAGGGUGCAAGCGUUAAUCGGAAUUACUGGGCGUAAAGCGCGCGUAGGUGGCUUGAUAAGCCGGUUGUGAAAGCCCCGGGCUCAACCUGGGAACGGCAUCCGGAACUGUCAAGCUAGAGUGCAGGAGAGGAAGGUAGAAUUCCCGGUGUAGCGGUGAAAUGCGUAGAGAUCGGGAGGAAUACCAGUGGCGAAGGCGGCCUUCUGGACUGACACUGACACUGAGGUGCGAAAGCGUGGGUAGCAAACAGGAUUAGAUACCCUGGUAGUCCACGCCGUAAACGAUGUCGACCAGCCGUUGGGUGCCUAGCGCACUUUGUGGCGAAGUUAACGCGAUAAGUCGACCGCCUGGGGAGUACGGCCGCAAGGUUAAAACUCAAAUGAAUUGACGGGGGCCCGCACAAGCGGUGAGCAUGUGUUUAAUUCGAUGCAACGCGAAGAACCUUACCUACUCUUGACAUCCUGCGAAUUUGGUAGAGAUACCUUAGUGCCUUCGGGCACGCAGAGACAGGUGCUGCAUGACUGUCGUCAGCUCGUGUUGUGAAAUGUUGGGUAGUCCCGUAACGAGCGCAACCCUUGUCCUUAUUUGCCAGCGCGUAUGGCGGGAACUCUAAGAGAACUUGCGGUGACAAAACCGAGAAAUUGGACGACGCUCAGAUCAUCUUGGCCUCUACAGAUAGGGCAUCUACACCGUCACUAUUUGUGGGCCUAUCAAAAAGAUGUGGUCACUAUCAACCC
rnacentral:rRNA from 1 species